AUUUAAAAUAUAAUUACAUUUGAUAUUAAAAUAUAGUUAUAUAGAGAGAGAUAUAUAAAUCUCUCUUUAUGUGUAUAUGUAUGUAUGUAUAUAUAUAUUUAUACAUAUACAUAAAUAUAUGGGACUCCCAGGUGGAGCUGGUGGUAAAGAACCUGCCUGUCAAUGCAGGAGAUUUAAGAGACACUGGUUUGAUCCCUGGGUGGGGAAGAUCCCCUGGAAGAGGGCAUGGCAACCUACUCCAGUAUUCUUGCCCAUGGACAGUGGAGCCUGGCAAGCCACAGUCCAUAGGGUUGCAAAGAGUUGGACACAACUGAAGCGACUUAGCACACAUGCACAUAAAUAUGUACACAUAUGUACUGACAUACACUGAGAGUUUGAUCCUACAUAGGACCUAAAAAGGAAAUGAUAAUAGUUCUUAGUGAAAGCAGGAUUUCAUCUGACACUGUAUAUGACAUGCAGUUCAACUCUUUGCAUUUUAAAAUAUGACAAUAAUAAUUAUAUCUCUUCCAUUUUUAUAGCCUUUGCCCUUUUUUGUACAUUUACUGGUAAAGAAUGAAGAAGAAAAGGAGACCACAGAGGGCAGCUGAAGCUUUGAUUCUGUGCAGUGUGGCAAAACAGCCCGUGAUCUACACAAGAAAGGGAAAAUCGAUCACAGCUAAUUCUAUCCAUUAAUAUGGCCAUCUCCUGUCACAUGAUAUUCAGUUCAGUUCAGUCACUCAGUCAUGUCCGACUCUUUGCAACCCCAUGGACUGCACCACACCAGGCCUUCCUGGCCAUCACCAACUCCCGGAGUUCACUCAAACUCAUGUCCAUCAGGUCAGAAGAGCACAAAAGUUUUAUUGAGUUUCAACUUUCCUCAUGUUCCAAGGGAAAAACAUAUAAUUCAGUUUUAUCACUCAUAUGUAAUAUAAAGUCUGUACUAAAGCCAAACGAUUGUGGGAAAAUAUAUGUUUUAAAUACAGUCCCCUGA
rnacentral:lncRNA from 1 species